rnacentral:rRNA from 1 species
GAUAAACGCUGGCGGCGUGCCUAAUACAUGCAAGUCGAGCGAACGGACGAGAAGCUUGCUUCUCUGAUGUUAGCGGCGGACGGGUGAGUAACGCGUGGAUAACCUACCUAUAAGACUGGGAUAACUUCGGGAAACCGGAGCUAAUACCGGAUAAUAUUUUGAACCGCAUGGUUCAAAAGUGAAAGACGGUCUUGCUGUCACUUAUAGAUGGAUCCGCGCUGCAUUAGCUAGUUGGUAAGGUAACGGCUUACCAAGGCAACGAUGCAUAGCCGACCUGAGAGGGUGAUCGGCCACACUGGAACUGAGACACGGUCCAGACUCCUACGGGAGGCAGCAGUAGGGAAUCUUCCGCAAUGGGCGAAAGCCUGACGGAGCAACGCCGCGUGAGUGAUGAAGGUCUUCGGAUCGUAAAACUCUGUUAUUAGGGAAGAACAUAUGUGUAAGUAACUGUGCACAUCUUGACGGUACCUAAUCAGAAAGCCACGGCUAACUACGUGCCAGCAGCCGCGGUAAUACGUAGGUGGCAAGCGUUAUCCGGAAUUAUUGGGCGUAAAGCGCGCGUAGGCGGUUUUUUAAGUCUGAUGUGAAAGCCCACGGCUCAACCGUGGAGGGUCAUUGGAAACUGGAAAACUUGAGUGCAGAAGAGGAAAGUGGAAUUCCAUGUGUAGCGGUGAAAUGCGCAGAGAUAUGGAGGAACACCAGUGGCGAAGGCGACUUUCUGGUCUGUAACUGACGCUGAUGUGCGAAAGCGUGGGGAUCAAACAGGAUUAGAUACCCUGGUAGUCCACGCCGUAAACGAUGAGUGCUAAGUGUUAGGGGGUUUCCGCCCCUUAGUGCUGCAGCUAACGCAUUAAGCACUCCGCCUGGGGAGUACGACCGCAAGGUUGAAACUCAAAGGAAUUGACGGGGACCCGCACAAGCGGUGGAGCAUGUGGUUUAAUUCGAAGCAACGCGAAGAACCUUACCAAAUCUUGACAUCCUUUGACAACUCUAGAGAUAGAGCCUUCCCCUUCGGGGGACAAAGUGACAGGUGGUGCAUGGUUGUCGUCAGCUCGUGUCGUGAGAUGUUGGGUUAAGUCCCGCAACGAGCGCAACCCUUAAGCUUAGUUGCCAUCAUUAAGUUGGGCACUCUAAGUUGACUGCCGGUGACAAACCGGAGGAAGGUGGGGAUGACGUCAAAUCAUCAUGCCCCUUAUGAUUUGGGCUACACACGUGCUACAAUGGACAAUACAAAGGGCAGCGAAACCGCGAGGUCAAGCAAAUCCCAUAAAGUUGUUCUCAGUUCGGAUUGUAGUCUGCAACUCGACUACAUGAAGCUGGAAUCGCUAGUAAUCGUAGAUCAGCAUGCCACGGUGAAUACGUUCCCGGGUCU